CGAUGUGAGACAGUCAUGGCACAAAGGGACAAGGCCUUGGCUCGGAUUGUGGUCCUCGAGCAGGAGCUUAGCAAACGUACUGAGAGUCUGAAAGACCUAACCUUGGCAGCAGAAGAGUCAAAGCUUCAACAACAACAGCUCUGCCAAGAAGUUACGGCUUUAGAAAGAAGAUGUUCUGCCCUGCUCGAGGAUGCUAAACUUGCUAAGGAUAGGGUCCAGUUGGCGUGUGAGGAGCGCUUGCGAAAGCAGAGAUCGAUCAGGC
rnacentral:lncRNA from 1 species